UUUUUAUGUAUGUAUUUAUUUAUUGUUUAUUUUUUGGAGACAGGGUCUUGCUCUGUCACCCAGGCUGGAGUACAGUGGUGCAAUCAUAGCUCAAUGAAGCCUCGGACUCCUGAGUCAAGUGAUCCUCCUGUCUCAGCCUCCCAAGUAGCUACAACUAUAGGUACUUGCUUUCCAGCUGGGACUGGUUUCCUUCCAGAAAUGCCAGGUUCAAGGCCUGCUGCCCUCCCGAUGUGCAUCAUCACACUUGGCUGUCAUUGUCUGGGCUGUGAUAGCUCCCUCCUGAGAAAGAGCCAGCACACCCCUCUAGACCUUAGAGGACUUGUCAAGAACUUAAGCUUUGGACCUCUUCAAGGAGAACUACAAACCACUGCUCAACAAAAUAAAAGAGGACACAAACAAAUGGAAGAACAUUCCAUGCUCAUGGAUAGGAAGACUCAAGAUCAUGAAAAUGGCCAUACUGCCCAAGGUAAUUUACAGAUUCAAUGCCGUCCCCAUCAAGCUACUAAUGACUUUCUUCACAGAAUUGGAAAAAACUACUUUAAAGUUCAUAUGGAACCAAAAAAGAGCCCACGUAGCCAAGACAAUCCUAAGCAAAACGAACAUAGCUGGAGGCAUCACGCUACCUGACUUCAAACUAUACUACAAGGCUAUAGUAACCAAAACAGCAUGGGACUUGUGCCAAAACAGAGAUAUAGACCAAUGGAACAGAACAGAGGCCUCAGAAAUAACACCACACAUCUACAACCAUCUGAUCUUUGACAAAUCUGACAAAAACAAGCAAUGGGGAAAGGAUUCCCUAUUUAAUAAAUGGUGCUGGGAAAACUGGCUAGCCAUAUAUAGAAAACUGAAACUGGAUCCCUUCCUUACACCUUACAAAAAAAUAAUUCAAGAUGAAUUAAAGACUUGAAUGUUAGACCUAAAACCAUAAAAACCCUAGAAGAAAACCUAGGCAUUACCAUUCAGGACAUAGGCAUGGGAAAGGACUUCAUGACUAAAACACAAAAAGCAAUGGCAACAAAAGCCAAAAUAGACAAAUGGGAUCUAAUGAAACUAAAGAGCUUCCGCACAGCAAAAGAAACUACCCUCAGAGUGAACAGGCAACCUACAGAACGGGAGAAAAUUUCUGCAAUCUACCCAUCUGACAAAGGGCUAAUAUCCAGAAUCUACAAAGAACUUAAACAAAUUUACAAGAAAAAAACAAACAACCACAUCAACAAGUGGGCGAAGGAUAUGAACAGACACUUCUCAAAAGAAGACAUUUAUGCAGCCAACAGACACAUGAAAAAAUGCUCAUCAUCACUGGUCAUCAGAGAAAUGCAAAUCAAAACCUCAAUGAGAUACCAUCUCACACCAGUUAGAAUGGCGAUCAUUAAAAAGUCAGGAAACAACAGAUGCUGGAGAGGAUGUGGAGAAAUAGGAACACUUUUACACUGUUGGUGGGAGUGUAAAUUAGUUUAACCAUUGUGGAAGACAGUGUGGUAAUUCCUCAAGGAUCUAGAACUAGAAAUGCCAUUUGACCCAGAGAUCCCAUUACUGGGUACGUACCCAAAGGAUUAUAAGUCAUGCUACUAUAAAGACACAUGCAGACGUAUAUUUAUUGCGGCACUAUUCACAAUAGCAAAGACUUGGAACCAACCCAAAUAUCCAUCAAUGAUAGACUGGAUUAAGAAAAUGUGGCACAUAUACACCACAGAAUACUAUGCAGCCAUAAAAAAGGAUGAGUUCAUGUCCUUUGCAGGGACAUGGAUGAAGCUGGAAACCAUCAUUCUCAGCAAACUGUCACAAAGACAGAAAACCAAACACCACAUGUUCUCACUCAUAGGUGGGAAUUGAACAAUGAGAACACUUGGACACAGGGCA